rnacentral:misc_RNA from 1 species
GAUGAAGAACGCAGCGAAAUGCGAUAAGUAAUGUGAAUUGCAGAAUUCCGUGAAUCAUCGAAUCUUUGAACGCACAUUGCGCCCUCUGGUAUUCCGGAGGGCAUGCCUGUCCGAGCGUCAUUGCUGCCCUCAAGCACGGCUUGUGUGUUGGGCCCCGCCCCCCGAUCCCGGGGGGCGGGCCCGAAAGGCAGCGGCGGCACCGCGUCCGGUCCUCGAGCGUAUGGGGCUUUGUCACCCGCUCUGUAGGCCCGGCCGGCGCUUGCCGAUCAACCAAACUUUUUUCCAGGUUGACCUCGGAUCAGGUAGGGAUACCCGCUGAACUUAAGCAUAUCAAUAAGCGGAGA